GAAUUGGAAUGAUAUUGAGAAUGAAACAGUUUGGCAUUUGUUAUUCCCAUUAUCCCCUGCCCCCAAGUUUAUAUUGUGGAAAUGGAAAGAACAGAUUUGCCUUCUGUUUAUAAAGUAUUGUCACUAAGAAUACUAUAUAUUAGUGAUUUUUUAAAAGCCCUCUUGAUGGGAUUUAGUCAUUAAGAAGAUGCAUGUGGGAACACUAGCAUUAAAACAAUGUUGAGCCUGGGGAUAUUACAGUUCAGUGGUAGAGCCUAGCAUGUAUGAGGGCAGUUUGAUCCCAGCAGCACAAAAAAAAACCAUUAAAUAUUAGAGUUGGGCAUAGAGGCACAUGCCUAUAAUCCCAGUUAUUUCCAGAGGCUGAGCCAGGAGCACUAGAAUGGGCACUCAGUGGAGAGUGGCCCUGGGUUCAAUCCCUAGUACUGCUGCUGCUGUCAACCCUACUCUCCUGCAAAAAUUUUAGUGUUAGAAUUGCCUGUUUUGAAGAAUAUGUCUGCAGUUAGGCAAGUAAAUUAUUUUCCUAUAAGAGAAAGGAUGGAAUUGACAAUUAUACAGUAGGAAUUUUCUUGCCCAUGAGGCUAGCAAGGGAGGCUACAGAAAGAAGUUCAUUAGUAGGUGUGUUGCAAAUUGGAUUUGAGUAUCAAUCUGAAAAAUGUUAGCUCUGGUGUCCCUUUACUAAUUUCUGAAAGGUGCUUUGAAGCCACUAAUAAUCCAAAAUUCACUUCAUAAAAGAGGAGGGCUAAACAUGUUUUAAUAAUAGGAAUAGACUAUGGCAUUUGUCAAAAGGAAACCUACAUCCUUUAAAUGGACUAGAGAAGCCUUAGGCUGAAUAUCUUACAUUCUUCAUAGCAGUGGCAUGCCUAGAAAUUUAAGUUACAAAAAAUACUGAAAGUGACAUCCACAUCUUAAGAAUAGAAAUGUAAAGUACUGAUUAGUAGUACAUCAAAUAUGCUUCAACAACAAAAACCAAAAAUGGUUCCUUUGCCCUCUAAAAUCAGGCAGUAAACUAUAGUGAGGUGACAGUCAAUACUACCAUUGCAGUUAUGACAGGUCAAACUGGAGGUUUUGUUUGCUUGCCAGAUGGUUUUUCAGAAUUUGCUGUUUGGGUUUGCUUCUCUUCUCCACUAGCAUUCUUGUCUGCAUACCCAAAUUUGUCACUGAAGUAUUUUAGUACUGAAGCUAGUAUCUGAUUUGAGUCUUCAUACUGUCUUUGCAGUCUUGACUUUCAUAAACAUUAUCACUCCCCUAUUAUGAAUCAAUGAUGAAUUUAUAUUCUGCCUUUCCAAUGUAUCACUAUUCUUAAAUCACAUCUUCAGUGGUAAAUAAUGUACUGAUCCUAUCUGGUUUUGCUUCUGUGGUCUGGUUAUAUUUUCAGACCCCCACUUCCCUCCCUUAG
rnacentral:lncRNA from 1 species